rnacentral:lncRNA from 1 species
GUUCCUGCUGUAUUUCGGUGUUCCUAAGGCCUCCGUCACCUUCCUGUGUCCCCGUGUGAGGGAUCAGCAGCAGCACUGGAAUAUUUUCACUGCCGUCCAUGUGCUCCACGGCCGCCGCGCUCCAGCAGUGUGUGGCUNNNNNNNNNNCCCCCCCCCCGCGGCCUCCUGCUGGGCUGCCCAGGCACCAGAGGGGGAAUUGGGCAUUUCCAGCACAUCUCGCUCCAAGUGCCUCUGCUGGGGCAAAGACUGCUCAUCCUAUUUGGAGUCACAAAUACCAACGGAGUCACAGCCACUUCUUGUCUUAUGCCUCCUGUUGGGCAGAAUGGCCUCGUGGCUGGGCCAGGAUGCACCAGAGAGAUGAUUUAUCAGUGUCACUGCAGAUUUGGCAUCCAUACCAUACAUCAGGGGCAGGAGCUGCCUGUCCCGGGCUCCCCACGAGGUGGCAAUGCUGCUCUCCUGUGCAGGAGCAGCUCUGCCGCCAGCCUCCACGUGACUGCAUGGACCCAGGUUCGGGACAAGCUGGAUUUUUGACGCAUGCUGUUUGAUCCCAUAAAUCAGCGCCGACAGUCAUUAGCCCUGAUGAUUAAUUAACCUGCUCCUGGAAAGCGCUGGGGCACGGCCGGGGUGAGCCCGGUUGUCACGGGGCCAGCGGCGGCGCAGGGCAUCCCGCGCUGUGUGCUCAGAGGCCACCUUCCCUUUGUGCACGUGGGAAUUCCUGGAAAUUCACAUCCCAAAGUUUGCAAACCCUGGGGAAAAAAAAAAUAAAAAUAAAAAAUUAAUGAGCGAGGGAAACGACCUCUGCCCACCCAGGGGAUGCUCUCUGUGCCACCUCCCCCCCCGAUCUGUGGGAUGCUGCAGGGACGGAGGGGCUGUAACGGGGACAUUCAAAGGCAGUUUCCAAAGCAUCCUCCUGGACACCGCAGCCUGUCCCAAGGCCACCCCUGGCUCCUGCCUCACCCGGGGACCCUCCAUCAGGAAUUUGCCUCCAGCUCUGUGCCUGUUGCUGCUUUCUAGCGGGGCGCACGCAGCCCGGGCUUUGUGGGGCUGGGGUCGGGGCUCGGUGCUGAGCUGCAGCCCCCAGGAUUCCCGCAGUGCCCAGCUCUCCUUUUCCUAGCAGGGGCCUUCCUCCCUCCCUGCUCAGCCUUCCUCUUCCUCGACACCCGGCUGUGAAACCUCUGCUCUCCGCGAGGUGCCAGGAGAGCUCUGAGCACGGGGCUCAGCGCCGGGGAGCCGCUGGGUGCUGCGAGCAGGCACAAGCCCUGCUCAGCCUCUCCCUGCCUGCACGCUCACAGCAGGGCCAGGCAGCUUCCUCCAGUGGGGAAACACCUCACCGUGGCCAGGGGGUGGGUGUCGGGGAGCCCCCACAAUUGGGGGCUGCAGCUCCAUCCCCGGGGUCUGUGCCUGUGCUGUGGGUUUGGCCGCUCGCUUGUGUUUGGGGCUGGGGGGUGCCAUGGGUUUGCUGCGGAGAAGGGGAGCCAAAGCCCCCCUGCAGCCCUGGCCACAUCCUGGCUCACUCCUGCGGUGCCAGGACCUGCCCUGCAGUGGGGAAUUGCCCCCAGCUGAGGCUCCAGCCCUGUGCAGUCAGCUCUUUUCUAUCAGGGAAGGCAUUAACCAAAUGCCCACCACUGCAGCGGGGUCACCGCGCAGCCCCAGCCCUCCCUGGGGCCCCAGCAUCAGCCGGGAGCAACGGCAGAGCCCGAACCCACAGCAGGGGAACGGGGAGAGGGAGACGGGGGGGAAAAAAGGAGGGGAGCAGCUCCCACCACCAGCACCCCGCAGACCCCCUGCCUGCCCUGGUGCGGAGCUGGGCUGCUGCUCCAGGACACGGUGAGCUGGGCAUGGACCGUGCCACCCCCAGAGCCACCUCUGUGCCCCCCCUCCAGGGCUGCCCCCACCUCGCUCAGUGACACAGAGCAAGGCUGGAGGGAUUUCUGCUCCGGGGGGGUUUGGAGGAGGUGUUGAGGGCAGCUGAAGGAGCUGGGACAGGGGGAGCUGCGGUGGCACGGGGCUGACGCAGAGCCCUGGCACCGGCCGUGCCGGGUGGAUCAGCCCCGCUCAGCACCUCCGUGCCUCGGCCCCGGCUGUGUUCCCACAUGCAGGCAGACGUGCUCUCGCCAGGUGUGCCCUGCUGUGUUGCACUUUUUCACACCUGGCUCACGCCGUCGCUUCCGA